UUUUUGUAUUUUUAGUAGAGUUGGGGUUUCACCAUGUUGGCCAGGCUGGUCUGGAACUCCUGACCUCAAGUGAUCCACCUGCCUCAUCCUCCUGAAGUGCUGGGAUUACAGGCGUGAGCCACCAUGCCUGGCCUGCCUUUUGUUUAUGUUUGAAACCUUAUUUAUUUAUUUAUUUAUUGUUUUUUUGAGACGGAGUCUGUCACCCAGGCUGUAGUGCAAUGGCACGAUCUUGGCUCACUGCAACUUCCGCCUCCUGGGUUCAAGCAAUUCUCUUGCCUCAGCCUCCCAAGUAGCUGGGAUUACAGGCGCCUGCCACCACGCCCGGCUAAGAAAAUUGAGAAUGUAUGAAAACUUACAGUAAAAAUAAGAUAUUAAAAAGAAAGAAUGUGUAACAACUGUAUGAAACUGCUUAUUACAACUUUAUAUGAACAGUGAAAAAAAUUGGAAAAAAAGCAGUCCAGCAAAUUAUGAUAUGCACAUAGGAUAGAACAUUACGCUGCUAUUUAAAAUAAUAAUAGUUGAUUAGAGUCUGGGUGUGGUAGCUCAUGCCUAUAAUCCCAGCACUUUAGGAGGCUGAGGUAGGUGGAUCACUUUUGCACAGGAGUGCAAGACCAGCCUGGGCAACAUGGUGAAACCCUGUCUCUAAUUAAAAAAAGAAUAAAAAAUGUGAUAAGAAAA
rnacentral:lncRNA from 10 species